rnacentral:rRNA from 1 species
UACGAAGGGUGCAAGCGUUACUCGGAAUUACUGGGCGUAAAGCGUGCGUAGACGGUAGCGUAAGUCGGGUGUGAAAGCCCCGGGCUCAACCUGGGAAUUGCAUUCGAGACUGCUCUGCUAGGGUGCGGAAGAGGGAAGCGGAAUUUCCGGUGUAGCGGUGAAAUGCGUAGAUAUCGGAAGGAACACCAGUGGCGAAGGCGGCACCCUGGACCAGCACUGACACUGAGGCACGAAAGCGUGGGGAGCAAACAGG